rnacentral:tRNA from 1 species
GGGGGUAGAUGGGUCCUGGUGGGUCCUCCGGUCUUCAAAACCGGCGCGAGGGGUUUGUAGCCUCUUGGGUGAGUUCGAUUCUCACAUACUCCCGCCA